GGGUCCAUCAUGCCUGCUCAAAACAUGGCAAGAACUCAAGGGUCAAGGUUGGCCUGGGAGGUCAAGUUCUGGGGGCUGACCCCUUGAGCCCUUACUGGGUAGAUAGCCUUGGUAAAGGCAUUUUUCUCUUCCGUCCUCUGGGUCCUCUUUCCCUGUUUCCCUACCCCUCCCUCCUCAUUUGCCUGAGUUGCACAGCUUGAUUUUCCCAUGAUUUAUUUUAUAAAAAGCCCAAGUUAACCAGACUCCUCUGGCCUUCAUGCUCAUUUAGCUCCCAGUUCAAACCUUCCCAUCUCAAGACGCACCCAAGAAAGGCACACAUGUGAUAUCUGACUUCUGAAGGAAGAACCCUACCAUGAAGCAAGUGGCUCACUUCUGUCUUUUGCUCUGUUCCCAGCCUCCCACUUGACCAUACAUGCCAAGGUUUGGAAGUGAUGGAGAUUACAGUUUAGCUCAUCCAGUGACCCAGUCUCCGUAGAUGAACCAUUUGUGGCCUCCUGAAACAUGGCAGCACGUCCAUCCCCUAGUGCCUUUGAUUUUGUGGCUUCUCAGCCUCCCUUUGUUCACCAACCUUUAAACAUGUUUUCGGAAUAUGUACCAGGAGGCCGGGGCUCAGAUCUGGAGGCGUAAUGGAUGGCAAGAUAGAUGUGAUCACUGCCCUCAUGAAGACUCCCCACCCCCACGCCUACCUGCCUUGGCUAUCUGGGUGUUGCAGAGAUCAGAGUUCGCGCGUCCAAGUCUGUAUGUCCAAUGCUGCUCUUCCACAAGGGGGCGCCCAUUCGGUGGAUGCUGCCAUCCCUGCCUAGUUGCUCAACCCUGAGAUUUAGGAAUGUCCUUCCUGACUUCUCCCAGUCCCUCAGCCCCAGCUUCCAAUCCAUCAAUGAGUUCUGUCCAUUCUACCUCCAAAAUAGAACUCUUCUAUUCUGGACCACUUUUCCCCAUCUCGAGGGUAUCAUUUCACUCCACCAGCUCUUACUCACUGCAGCGGCCUCCCAGAGGCACCUCCCACUUCUUUAUUUUUUCCUCCCACCCAAGGGUUCUUGAAGAGAAGUCCUCUGACCAGCAGCCUGAUCACCUAGAAAUUUGUUAGAAAUGCAGGUUCCUGGACCUCCCGAGGCUGACUGCUCAGAAUUUCUGGAGAACAUUAAUGAAAGAAACGUAGGCAGAGGCUCAAAAAGUGCCUGCCUAUUGGGGCUGUCCCCUGUCCUGAUGAUGGAAGAGCCCACGUGAAGGAGCUGAGCUGGCUGCUGGACAGGCCACAUGGAGGAGAAUCGAGGCAUUCCACCAACAGCCUGUCAGCCUCUGGUUGCAGCAAGCAGUAUGAGUGAGCCUCGGCAAAACUGGCUGAAGAAAUGCUCAGCGGAACCCAGCCCAAACUGCUGACAUCCAGAAUUGCAGUUAAUAUAUUAUCAUUGUUUUAA